GGAGGGGGAUAACUACUGAAAACGGUACCUAAGACCGCAAAACGUCGCAAGACCAAGGAGGGGGACCUUCGGGCCUCUUGCCAUCGGAUGUGCCCAGAUGGGACUACCUAGUAGGUGGGGUAACGGCUCACCUAUGCCACGAUCCCUAACUGGUCUGAGAGGAUGACCGGCCACACUGGAACUGAGACACGGUCCACACUCCUACCGGAGGCAGCAGUGGGGAAUAUUGCACCAUGGGCGCAGGCCUGAUGCCUCCAUGCCGCGUGUAUGAAGAAUGCCUUCGGGUUGCAGAUACUUUCCUCGAUGAGGAAGGAUUGUGGUUGAUAACCUCACUGAUUGACGUUACUCGCAAAAUAAUCACCGGCCAACUCCGUGCCACCAGCCACGGUCCUACGGAAGGUGCAAGCGUUAAUCGUAAUUACUGGGCAUAGAGCGCACGCAGGCGGUCUGUCGGUCUUAUGUCAGAUCCCCGGGCUCACCUGGGAACUGCAUCCGACACUGGAAGCUAGAACUUGAGAGGGGGGUAGAUUCGGGUUCCCGUUUAAUGCGAAAGUCUGAGGAUACCGAUGCCAAUGCCGCCCCUGGACAAGAUGACACUCGAUGCGAA
rnacentral:rRNA from 1 species